UACCCUUUCUUGCCUUUGAGAUGAACUGAAAAAUGAGGCUAAGGAAAUGGCUCAGUACAUCAAGUGGCUGCUGGAUAAACAUGAGGGCCUGACUUCCAAUUCCCAGGACCUACGUAAAAAAGCCAGGAAAGGAUAUUUGAAAGUUAUCUCUGAAGACCCUCACUGCGGUCUCAGACUGUAAUGAUGGGAAAUGAUCUAAAAGCUGCAAGGUUUUUCAGAAUGGAGGGAACUGAAGGUGUGUACCACACUUGGUAGCCAAAGACUGGCAGCAGUGCCACCAUCAAUAAAAGGAGAGCCCUCAUUUACUCCAUCCCCGAUGCCUUUUGGAAUAAAGUCACAGGAUUG